rnacentral:lncRNA from 1 species
GCCAGAUCAGAUCAACGAUAGCAAACCCAGGAUAGUCAACCCAGGACAGCAGUUUCCUUUAGUAGCUGGCCCAUGAGACACCUCGCCUCUCUGCAAUAUGAAGUACCUGGUUCUGGGACUCGGCACACUGGCCUUGCUGGCAUCCACCAUGGCACAGAAUUCAACAAUAGGACCAACAACCAACCAACAGAAUCCUACAACAGGACCAACAACCAACAACAGAAUUCUGCAAUAGGCCAACAACCGCUGCCACAAACGCUACAACCGCCACAUGGUCAACGCCACCACAACCGCCACAUGGUCAACCACUCUCACCACACCAGCAGGGGGCAGCCAUGUCUUCAGUUACUCCCUGACUCUACUGUUUGGUUCGACAGUCAGCCUGAUCAUGCAUUCACUAUGGCAUUGAGCGCCACAUAGAGGGCAAAAGUCACAUUGACCGCACCUUCCUGAGAGUGUUAAAGGGUAACUUUGGGAUUUUGGCAACGAGGCCCGUUAUCUACUUUCCCAGAGUCAGAUGAUCUC